ensembl:lncRNA
UCUAUUCUAUAUAAGCGUAUGCUUACUUUAUAUAUGGAUGUCUUGUAACAUUUUAACUCAUUUUAUUCCUUCUUUUGUUUUAACUACAUUGUCCCUCUGUUCAACAAUUUGGCCUUGAUGUCUUUUAAGUAAAUUAAUGGUCACAGAUCUGGGAACAAUCACUGAGUGACUUACUGGUUAUGUUUUAAAUUCCAAAAAUGAAUUGGGACUCUGAGAGGCAGAACAAACAAUCAAACAAUCUGAAAGUAUACUUCUGCUAAAAAUCAUGAUGUGUUGGUUGAAUAUACAGCGUCCUCCAUAAUGUUUUUAAGAUUGUAUUUUUUUUUUUCUCUGUACACCAGCCAGCACGGUCGAUUUGCGUAAUGUUUGUUUUUUUUUUUUUUUUUCGUGAACGGGAAACUGCUUAAAGAAGCAUAUGAUCAGUUUGUCCAAUCGUGGUUUAAAUAAAGUUCUUUGAAAAAAAUUCCGCCAAAAAGUACGUCCACGACGUAAGUACGCGCCACAGUCAGCCAAUAAGCGUUCAGAGUCUUUCUAAAAGGCGCGAAAUUCGAGAAAAAUUCAGCUAGGACGAGGAAGUCGGGGGAGGAGCGUUGUCAUGUGUUCGUGUAACAUGGAGGGAGAGUUGUUCUUCAGCGUGCACUGGAAGAACCUCGAGCCAUUUGCCCGGUUACGGAAAUUGAAGCAAAGGAAGGUGAUGAUGUCAUCCUCCCGUUUUAUGUGGUCCCCCCUGUCAACCUGUCUGCGUUCACCGUGGACUGGUCAAGAACCAACCCGAGUGUGGUCGUCUACUCCUAUCGACACCAACAGGAGUCGCAUGAUGCAGAGAUGGAUGCAACAGUCAGACGUGAAGACCUGAACAGAGGAAGUCUGACACUGUGGAUCCCCUCAGUGCAGAUGUCCCACAGUGGAGAAUACACAGGCUUCGUUAUGGACCUCGGGAUCAAGUGUAGUGUUCAACUUAAUGUAACCAAAGACAAACUGAAAAAGCAAAAGGGGCAGGAUGGUUUCAGCACAACUGGAGCUCCUCUCAACACGACGGUGGAGAAAGUCGGUCCACGUGGUGACAUGAUGCUUAUCAUUGGGAUUGCUCUUUCUUGCGGCGUCGGUCUUCUCUUGAUUGUUCUGGGAUUGCUUGGAAAGCUCGGUAAGUUGGUGGUCAGUCUAACAGUUAACCUCUCAGUUAGGCAUUGCUUUUGUCAGCAAGCUGGAUGAUGAUGAAACUUGAUGCAUCUCUUAAGUCAAAGGUCAUAUAAAUGUUCCUAAAUAAAAUCAUGGUUGCUUGUUUUUGGAUCCAGACUUUAUCUCUGCCGUCUUUUUCAGUGUAGGAUCCUCACAUCCUACAUUCUCAUCAAUGUAAAAAUGUAGAAUGUGUUAUAAUCAUUACUGUAUAUUUACAUUUUCACCAUGAAAGUAAUUGAUGUAGUGUUUUGUUUUUCUGUCUAGUAAAACUUUUGUUUAGGUUUCUUAAUUUAAAACAAACAAACAAACUUUGUCUUGAUGCAUUCUCAAUAUUCCAGGAAAGUAAAUCUCCAAAAGUUGAUUGUGUUCAUCUGGACGUAGCGUUUUCAGUGGGAGAAAUGGUCUCAGCUGACUGCAGGUUUCCCCAAUCUCAUAAACAGUACGUGGAAAGACCAUCUCUGAAUCGAGGAGGGUUUAUCUGUCACCAUCUCACAAUGCUGUGAUUGCAGCCAUUCCCCAACUCUCUGUGAUGGUACUCAUGGCCAUUGAUCAGUUGGUUCUGGUCAGUGGUUGUUGAUCAGUGGUCAUGAGAAUUUGCAUAAUUAAGAUUAAGGACCUGACCUCCCAGCCCAUUGUUCCCUCAGUGGGCUGGUUUCAGUCAUUAUGCAAAUGUGCUGUUGAUAAGAUUUGUGGAAACCUGCAGUCAGCUGAGACUGAAGACGUCACUCGCAUGAGUGACGAAACGUUUCUCCCACAAAACACUACGUCCAGAUGAACAGAAUCAAGUUUUGGAGGAAAAAAACCCUCAAUCAGCUUCAUAUUCUACCAUAAAAAGUAUUUGUUUUUUGCAGAGGGCUUUGUGAGACGGUGCAGAGGAUGGAUCCAGCCACCAAAUGAUGAUCGCACUGAAAAUUAAACCAUCUUAUGAAAUUUAGCAGAAUGCAGUGAUUAACAAAUCUCAUGUGCUGUCCAUAAGAUGUGGGUUUAUUAUAGAAUGUGUGUCAAAUGUUUAAACUUUAAAAAAUUGUUUUGUGUGUAAGGAAAACACAAGCUCUUAGCUGUAAAUGAGGUUUUACAUGUGAACACAAUGAGUCUAGAACACGACGACAAAGUGAUGCCAGAGUUUCCUCUCAGAUGAGUUUGAAUCUCUGACCUUGUCCUUAACCUCCUAAGACCCAAACUCUCAUUUCAUGAAUUUGUAAUUUGUCUUUGUUAUUUGGACUGAGACCUGGUGAAUGUAAAAACAAACCUGAUGUAGUUUCUGAGAAUCUGAUAUCAGGCUUUGUACAGCAAAAUUGAGGAACUGUAGCCUAGACGACCCAAAAUAAUCAUGUUGACAUAUGUGGGAGGUUAAGGUCAGAGUUCAAAUUUUCUGAAAACUUGAACUCGCAUGUCACCUAUGAUUUUCAUAUUGCUAUCACAUCUAUCUGUCCUACAUUUUGCUGCUUCCAUCAAAGUCAAAAUGAGCUAAUGUUGUUCUGAAAAUGACACUUUCUCAGUUUAAACUUCUGUUUGUGUUCUGCUGUGAAUGUAAUGUGGGUUCAUUGGAUUUGCACAUAUAUUUUGUACAUUGAAACUUUGCGAGGCUGGCCGUGUGUGUGUGUGUGUGUGUGUGUGUGUGUGUGUGUGUGUGUGUGUGUGUGUGUGUGUGAGAUGACCUUUCCUAGAGCAAUAAUGUGAAUAAAUAAGUUUGUAUUUAUGAAUGUUUUAUAAAUGUUACCUUUCAUCGCUCUGUAAAGCAUUAAC